rnacentral:lncRNA from 1 species
AGCCAUUCCCUGUCAUUUCCGUGCAAUAUCACGAAAUUCACUUUUCUAAUGCAAUCAAAUAAAUUCUCAUAAUAUCACUGCUAGUUAAACAGUAGAAACACCAGAUAAAAAUAAGGCAGGGUAUUACCCAUAACAAACUCAAAAUUUAAAUUACAAAUUUGCGAUAGCUUAAACACAUAGAAAGCAUAUAUUUGGAUACUCCCAAUAGUAUUCAUCUACUGAAUUGGACAAUGGCAAAGGUAUUGUUGCAGCAUGUGGAAGUUCAUCACUCUUUGUAGGCGCUUUCUCAUCUUAUGCAGCUUUAGAUUCAUGCUAGAGAUCAUUGAGUAAACCAUAUCUAUUUGAGAUAGAUUACUAAUUUUUUUGCUUGAAGUGGUACAAAGAUAGAUUCCUUUUUAUAUAAUUUAAAAGAAUAGAAUAAAAAGUUUUUUCCUGCACUGAAGAUCUUCUGGUAGAAGGAAAUUCAUUUGAUGAAAAAAUAACUUAUUUCUAUGUGAAGCUUCAGAUAUAUAAGGGAAUUCAUAUAGCAAUUGGAUGGCGAAAUCUUAAACUGAAUAGAUUCUCGUUCUUACAAAUUAAUCUGUCAUGAUAAGUUGAAUCAUGAUCUUCCUUCACUAUCUUACUAACACUAUGUUGAUACCACAAAAACUCCACAACAAAACAAAAUGCAACUCUUGCAUUUGUUCUAUUUGUACGAUAUAAACCUUAAGUUUUCGAACUGCUAAUCGGACCAAUAUAAUUAAAGUAACCCGAAAGCAUAUCAAAAUUCCUAAACACUCCCGACUUUAUAUGAUGUCUCGGGGAGGAUAAAACUUCUAUAAAUGGGGUAGGGCUCUAAUUUGGAUAUGUUUAAGUGUUGACUAGGUUCUUACGGAUUACACAAGGUAAAUGAAAAGUAUAAGAUCUAGUUUAAGAGUGGUAAACUGAAAAGGGACCAAAAAAUAGUCUACCCUUAAAACAUAAACAAAACAAAAAAUUGUUAAGUGAACUUAUUUCAACUGCUAAGAUUAUUGAGUCUGUCAUUGACACUUCUUAGUCUAGAAAUAAAUUUUUAUCAGAGUCUGCUACUAAUAGCGCUGCCUUGUAUACUUAUAAAGGCGACAGAGCAAUACAUCAAUAUGUCCAAGAAAGAAGUGGAGGUUGCCUUGUUUAUCUUAUGCGAUUAUCCAACUUUAGGUUAUUGGAGGUUGUAUUCAAGCAUAUUAACAAUAGUUGGUAUCUGUUAUUGCAUUGUAAUUUCAAGCUCUUACUUAUCGAAAAAACUUGUCUAAUUAAAUUAAUUACCAACUGAAAUGAGGCAGAAGCCUAGGCAAAUGUACACAUAAUCACGAUUAGACAUAGUGUUAUAGGUUAUAUUGAGAAUAAAAAGUGGUAUUAUAUAACCACUUUGAAGAAUGAAGAUGAGUCUCUUAUGACAUUAAAAGGACGAUGAAAUACCACUUGAAUCAUUGACAAUAGAAUAUUCAAAGAGAGGACGUUCUAGAUGCCUCACAUUGUAUUAAUUUCAUCCCAGGAUUGUGAUCUUAAUAAUGCUUGAGGUGAAAGAGCUAUUAUGGCUCACAAAUUUUUCAUAAAGAAGUUUUGUUUAUUGGUUAUUUAAAUCUAACACCAUAUACCAGAUAGAGAUAAUGAAAAGCACAGGAUUUCUCAUUCAAAGCUUACACGACAAAGCAAACAUAAUUGACAUAACUUAUAUCAUGGUAUUACUAAUGCGAAGAGCAUAAAUUCUUUAACAGCCACAAAGAACACUUCAUUCAUUCCAAUGACACAUACAAAAUAAUAGUUAUUGUCAAUUACGUAUAAAGUAAUAGUUUAUGCAUUGACUGUGCUAAGUAAAAUAGCAUAAACUUACCUUUUUAGGUUGACGGUGCUUGUAACUAUAAUUCAGAGUUCCUGAAAAUAAUGACAACAAAUAACUUUAUUUUGUCAAUAGUUUAUAUGUAAUCAUGAAAACAAAAUUGCAAUAACAUGUUCAGAUAAGAAGUUACAAAGCUAGGGGUAAUAAAUGGUCAAACUUAAUCAAUACAACUUAACAACUCAAAAAAUAUUGAAUGCAGCAAUAUUUAAUCUCUAUACGACAAAGCACAUACAGUCACCUUUUGUUUCGUUUUUACUAAUUUAUUGAACACUCUAAAAAAGUACACUACCCAGGAAUAUAAUUAUGUCACAUUGGUCCAUUUGAUCGACAAAUAAUGAAGAGAAAAUUAGAUAAUGAAUUGACGACAACAGCCAUUUCACUAAAAAGGUAUUCUCUGUUAUAUAUCUAAAGGCCUAAGCUCAGAGUUUCAAAAGAGGAACCCAUACAAAAUCUGGAAGAACAAAAGAAGCAGAUAUCAAAUUCCAAAGUUAAAUUUUUAUAGGUAAUCCUUGCACAGUAGCAGAAACACAAGUUUCCAAAACAUAUAAUACACCCGAAUAAGAAAGAAAAAAACUAAAAAAUAUGAGGAACCGCGAUAAUUUCAAGGAGCAGAAGAAGAACUAUACUGAAAAAUCUGCAAAUUAAUUUAAGUUGUUGUUUUGACAUAUUAUAUGCAUAGAUCAUGCAUCUAAAAUGUGCUAAAAUCGAGAAAAAAUUUUAGCUGAUGACAUAUUAAACAAAUUACCAACUUGAAAAUUCAUAUUAACUUCCAAGAACAAACCAGAAAUCGGGAAGAUCGAAGAGAACCGGAAGAAAAAAAGACAUCCGCCACUAAAACUGGAAAAAUAACAUCAGCCGUGAAUUUGGAAAAACUGAAGAGAAUUAGAAGAAGAUUUGGGUAAAAAAUUACUAAAAGAAAAGCUUACAUGUGAUGACUAUACCAGUUGAAAAGACGAAGAGAAGAUUGUUGGAAUAAGAGCACUCUUGCGU